UGGCGCCUGACAGGUAAAGUGAGCGAAGAAAGGAAAAGGUGGGGUUUCAAAAUUGCCUGUGAUGCUUGGCUAGAUUUCCAUCAGGAGCCGCGCUGGGGGUCAGAGUGUGGGGGCUGUUGCGAUGAAGAGCACUGGAUGGUCAUUUCCAGGGCUGCUGACAGCUUCGGCCAGGCCCAGGACAAAGUAGUCUGAAAGGGCCCCCCAGCUCAAUACAUACUGUAAUGAGGACCCAAUUCUGGCCCCCCCUUCUCCCUGGGCCCGGGACAAAUGUUCCCUUUGUCCCCCCCUGUCGGCCGGCACCCCUGGACAGUUCCACCAGGCAUCUGACGGCUGAGGGUCUGACCAUCAAAGGACCUUGAGGCCUCCACAUGAGUGAAAUAUUGUGAAACUUUAUGCCUCCCAUAGUAAAAGGUUUCCCACCACUCAAUCCAUGACUUUUUUCGGGAACCUGAUGUGAUGGAGUGGCUUUACCAGCAGUGGCAGCGGCACACAAUCGCCCGCAUCAGUGAGACACACGGUAUCUCCCCUCCACAUCUCCCCUCUCCCCUCCAUGUCUCCCCUCUCCUCUCUUCCCGUCUCCAAUUGGCUUUAGAUGUCUCUCGACAUGCCUCCAUAGGCUGCUGGGUGACGAAGAGUGAACCUGAAUGACUUGCCUCUGUAAGCUGAGAGGUGAUCAACCCAAUCCUGCAGGCUUUCUCUCCAGAGAGGGCAAUUGGACCCCAGAGAGGGCAAUAGGACCCUGCUGAGAGGUGAUCACCCCUCCUGCUGGCUUUCUCUCUAUGGGAGGCAAUAGCACCCUGGGGAGGCGGAUAUUUUAAAAAGAGAAACAAGACAUCACUGUAGGAGGGACAAAUAGUGAUGCUGUCUAUUGUUCAAAACAAACCACCAAAUUAUCUUAUUCCAGAGAAAAUUAAGACUAUACUGUCAGAAGUG